rnacentral:lncRNA from 1 species
UUGAGUCAUGUGAUGAACACCAUAAGCAGCUGCAGCAGCGGCUGCACCUCCAGCAACCAUCCCAGCUACUCCACCAUGCCCUAAUAUAUUUAAUUUAUGUCAAAAAAAAAAAAGGAACAAUUAAGGACACGGAUCUAAGAUAGCAAUAUAAGCAAAUCUGACAACCACAAAUAGUGAAGCAUAUUACUAAACAGUACUAACUCGUCCUCAUUCUACACACAAGUAAACUAUGCUCCUGCAGAUUAAAAAAAACCCAUAAAAUAAACAAUACCAAACAUAAUUUUUCCUGAUCGCGUCCUAUGUAGAGACUACACGAUUCAGAUAAAUUAUACUCCUGACUUCACAAUGCUCCACUUAACAUUAAAGUGGACAUACUUAAAGUAAUGAUCAAAGGAAACCAAUACAGAUAAUUGAGGAAGGAACUAUGUUCCGUACUAUAUUCAUAUGAAAGCAAUUAAGCAAUACCUGAGUGGUGUGGAGCAGAUGAACCUGAGUGGUGUCCAGCAGGGGGAUAGCCUUGAGGAGGAUACCCUCCUCCAGCUGGUGGGUAGCCUUGUGGAGGAUAACCUCCUCCAGCUGGUGGGUAUCC